AUCUUUAAAGGUCCCUCCCAACCCAAACCCCUCCAUGAUUAUAUGACUCUCUGAGCCAAGCAGACCUCUCAGAUCAGCCCAGCAGGACAGGGCUGGGCUGGAACUCCUGGGGUUCCUUUCAGGGUCCCCCUUCCUGGGAGCAGGGAGAAGGGGCAUGGCAGGAUGGGAACAGUCCCUGCUCCCAUUUCAUGCUGUCAGAAGGUCCCUGUGGGUGCCAGCACCCCUGGGCAGUGCCUGGAGCAGCACUGGCAGCACCCAGGUCCUGGCAGGGCUGAUAAGGGGGUGCAGGAGGGGGGCACUGGUGCCUGGCAGCAUUUUCUCUGCAUGUUCUCUCCCCCCUGACUGCACCCAGGCUGGGCUCAACUUGAUUUGUCAUUGUGCUUCAGCCCCCCACACUGGGUUUUCUGGAGAAAAGGCAAAUGUAGGCAAAUCUGAUGAAGGUUAUUCACCCCUAUUCCAUUAAAAAAAGGUGUACAACUAGAGGGGGAAAGCAAUAUUGUCAGGCUGGAAACGUCCCUCAGUAUUUUCUUUCUUUGAAUUGAUUUUCCUGCCAUAUUUUCAAUACAGAAGACACUUGGCAGGAGAUGAUCUGUGGAGGAAGGCAAGGGCUGGUGUCUGGAGAGGAGCUUGGGCAGCCCUGCACCUCUGCUGCAGCCUGGCCACACAGCCACCCCCUCAGCUGUCCCCAGCUCUUCCCUAGCCCAGCCCAAAUCCUGUGGAAAACAACAGGAAAACAGCAGAUUCCUCCGGGUGCCUUGGAAUCAGCAUUGAAGCCCCUGUGCUUUUAGCAAGGGUGUUUCUUGGGGUUUAUGCAGGAAACAAAAGAGGAAAGCUCCCCAGGGCAUUGCUCCUGGCUGGGAUGCAAAACCCCUGGGUGCUGAGGUGUGUCAGGGCAGCCUGGAUGUCUCCUCCUCAGAGCACAGCCUGGCUGAGUGUGGGUGGCUUGUGGAAUUUGGCAGGUUCUGAAGGGGAAGGCCCUGGGCUCCCCCCAGGCUGGACAGCCCUGAGCUGAGCUUUUGCUGCUUUUUGGGCCCACAGCAGGUCCUGCAGUGACAAACCUGGUGUUCUAAGCCUGUUUCACCCCCCCUUUACGGAUGUGGCUGGAAGCAGAACUGAGAUGAGCAGGAUGGUCCUGUGUGGUCCUUGCUCCCUGUCCAGCAGCACUGCAUUGGGCUGGUCCUUUCACAUCUGAGGGGAGAACAUUUGGGUGAACUUACCAUGGGAGGAGGGUGGAACAAGACAAGCUUUAAUGUCCCUUCAGCCCAAACCAACCUAUGAUUCUACCAGAGGACAUCCUGAGUUGGAAGGGACCAACAAAGAUCAUGGAAAUCCAGUUCUGAACUCAGACUCUGAAAUGCAACUAUGAUUCUUCCUGCUCCAAAAGGCACAAAUAAAUCAAACUGGUCAAGUUCUGUCAUGGGAGAGGGAAAAUGAGGCUAAUGCAGAUUUGGGCUGCAGAGCCUGAGCAUCCUCUGAAUAGCUCCAGCACUGCCACAGCUCCCGGUGGUGCAGGGAGUCCUCAGGCAGGGCAGGGCCCUGCACGGUUUGCUGGGGACAAACCCCUCGGGGUCGCUCUGCCAGGGGCUGGAUUUUGGCCUGGACAUUCCUCAUUUCACUGAGGGAAGGCAGAGCCCAGUGUUGGGAAUGCUGAGGCACCAGGCUCACACCUCUGAGUCCAGCCCACGCUCAGUGGUGAUGGACCAUCACCCCCCCAGAGGGGCCCACGCCCGGAAGGUGAGAGGAGAGCUGCCCUCACAGAGGGGAAGGGACAAAUCUGGAGCUCAGGAUAACCAGAGGCCCCUUCUCUGUGUGCCACACCCUGGCCAUCCCCUCCUGCUCCCCCUCCUGCUGGAGGGGACCCCCCCAUCCCAUGGCCCCUCGGGAUGGCCGGGGAGGGGCUGCGGGCAGGGGAUAAAAGGCCCGGUGGGGUCUGGGCUCAGCUACGGGGUCUGUGCCCUCCUGCAGCCCAGCAGAGCAGCCACCAUGGUGCACUGGUCAGCAGAGGAGAAGCAGCUCAUCAGCAGCAUCUGGGGCAAGGUCAACGUGGAGGAAUGUGGGGCCGAGGCCCUGGCCAGGCUGCUGAUCGUCUACCCCUGGACUCAGAGGUUCUUCUCUAACUUUGGGAACCUCUCCAGCCCCACGGCCAUCAUCGGCAACCCCAAGGUCCGUGCCCACGGCAAGAAGGUGCUCACCUCCUUCGGGGAGGCCGUCAAGAACCUGGACAACAUCAAGGGCACCUACUCCAAGCUGUCGGAGCUGCACUGUGAGAAGCUGCACGUGGACCCCGAGAACUUCAGGGCUUGGUGAUCUUCUCCUUCCCUAAAAAUAGCCUUGGCAGCACAGACCUGAGGGAAGGGCCUCUGUGCCAGGCGGUUCCUGCCUCUCCGAGCUGAGCACAGCUGAGAACCCUCACAGUGCAGCAACACUGUGGGACGCAGCCAACGAACACCCACCAGCCUGGGGGUGCCAAAGGUGCUGCCAAAAAGCAGUGCAGUGAACACCUGCUAGUCCAAGAGCGGAAGAUUUUGGCCUCGGAUAUCCUUGUAUGUACGAACACGGGCGCUGUUUUCCAGCAUGAAUGAAGUAAACAACAACCACACCACCCUCUCCAGAGGGGGAGAGCUCUGGCAGCUCCCAGUGCUGCCCAGGAACCUUCUGCAAGCCGAGGAGACAAGAUCUCAGUCCUACUUACCCACCUGGCCAGGCUGAGGCACAAAGGUUGUCCUUCCUUACAGAUCUCUGGGUACCUGCUCUGUCAGCAGCAGCAUCUCAGCUGGGCAGGACCCAUCAGUGACAUCAGGGCACAGCUGGCACUGCCAAGGGCACAUUGUCUCACCCCAGUGUCUGUCCUGGUUGGAUAAAUGGAGCUGCUGGAGCAUUUCCCUCCAGGCUGCAGGUGAACGUGCCUUGACAUCACCCUCCACAAGGCUCCCCAGGGCUCCCCGGCUCGCUGGGGACUUCUGCUUCUUGGUUUUGGCUGAUCCACUGCCUCAAAGGAGGUGAUGCAAACAUGUCCUUGAACCCCAGUGUCCAGUGGGAUUUGCCUUGGCUUUGCACCAGGAGCUAAAUAGGAGCAGGGACUGGGUGUGAUGUCAAAGCAGGACUGGGAGGUGCUGCUGGUUUAUGGCUUCAAUGAGGGACAUCAGGCAGGAGGAAACACUCCUGGGAGACCCUCUGCAGGGAUGAGGAGGAGAGAUGGGAAUGCACCAAGAGGAGAGAGUGAUGGUGGCAAGAUGGGGAAAAGCUGGAGAGAGACCUUGGACAAGGGCCUGGAGAGACAGGACACAGGGAAUGGCUUCCCACUGCCAGAGG